ensembl:lncRNA
ACUGAAAUUGCAACUCAGGAAACAGGCAGAGGAGCAUGAGACAGCGCAGAAGUCUUCAGGAGAAAAGGUAUGCUUGUUAAAGUAAAAGAUGCUCUGCUGUUCAGUUUGUAUAUCACUAGUUAAAUUCUACCUCUCUGUACAGGUUAGCACACUGUCCACCUGUGAUGAAGAUCUUAGAUCAUCUCCUACCCAAGAUGAUGACAUUCUUUCCCUCGCUCAGGAAGAUCUUGUCCAAGCCCUGAAUCACGAAAACCGGGCCUUGGCAGAUCGGAUCGAGGAGCUGUUGGCUCACAUUGAUUCCAGAGAGGAGGAAAUCACAAAGGAGCAAGCGGAGCUGAGGAGAAACAUCUCCAGACUAGAAGAAGACCAUGUUAGGCUGGAGCAGGGAAACCAGGAACAGGCGUGCUUGAUCUCAGAACUCACAAAGAAAACUGAGGAUGAUCUGAACACUAUUAUGGAGCUGCAACAAAAGUUAACGGAGAGUAGAGAUAGUAAGGAUGAAUCACAUGUUAGUAAGCAGCACUGGGAAAGUGAGAACGCAGCUUCAAUAUCACUGCAGAACAACCUGGAGGAAUCUGUGGAUCAUGUAGUUGCAAGUGUCCUUAAAGGAGAAGAAAACACAAAGUUACUGUCAAGUCAAGAAACAAACGUUUUGACCACAGUUUCAGGAUCUGGUACUCAGACCAGUGACCCCUUAACGAUCAGUCCACAAAACAGCCUGCAUGCCAGUCAACUGGCAGACCAAGUGGCCCAGCUAACACACUCAGUCCAGAUGCUCAAAGCAGAACAAAACGAGCUGACAGGCUACAUAAAUUCACUCAGAGAGCAGCAGAAAGAAGUCGCUCUGUCAGUCCAUACACAGACAGAAGAGAAACAGCAGUUAACUCGGACAGUUUGGGGACUGAAGGAGGAGAAAGACCGCAUCUGUCAAUCUUUAGCUGUCCUUAAGCAAGAGAGAGAGCAGCAAAGUCGGACAGUCUGGGGGCUGAAAGAUGAGAGAGAGCAGUUUAUAAAGUCCGUGAGUGGCCUAAAAGAGGAGAAAGAGCAGCUGGUGAUGUCUUUAUCUGUUCUUGAAAGAGACAAAGAGGCAAUAACAGAAUCUGUCACAACUGGAAAAGAAGAGAGAGAUCGAAUCAUGCAGUCACUGAAAAGCUUACAGAUAGAGAGCCAGCAGUUGAGCCAGGAAGUGCUUCAUUUGAAACAAGAGAGAGACAAACUAUCUGAUUCCCUCCAAAGUCUGAAAACACAGAGAGACAUGGAACCAAUAUCUUUCUCUUCAAAAGAAGACCAGGACAGGUUGAUGGACUCUGUGAGCAGUUUAAAAGAAGAAAAAGAAAGAACUAAACAUUCAAUUAGCUGUCUGAAACAAGAGGAGAAGCAGCUAACACUCAUAAUCCAGGGUCUGAGAGAGGAGAGGAGCAGUUUACAAGCUCUGCAAAUGCAGACAGAGAGGAGUCAGAGGCAGCAGCUGCUAAGCCCAAGCUGCCCUGGGCUGAUGAAGAAGACUGAGACACUUGCUGGGACAGGAGAUUACACUACACAAAGAUGUCAGACUAAUAACCACAAAGGAAGCUUUGUACAGGAGCAAAGUGAUCUGAUGAGGGAGAUUGAAGCUUUGGGAGCAGAACUGAAGAGCUCACAGGAAGAGCUGGACAAAAGCCGUGCAGAGACCAAGAGGUUGCAGAGUGAAUUGUCUCAGUCAGAGGUCAGGAGGGAGGAGGCAGAGAGAGAGGCGCUGAGGCUGACAGAAGCAGGUCAUCUGACGGAAGAAACCAGGAAGGACAAUGACAGCCUCACAAACCAGGUAUUUAUCCAGAUAUGCAGUUAUGUAUAUGCUGA